GGGUGCAAACUAGACAGGCUCUCGUAUAGGGUGCCUUUACUUAACCAUACAGAGGAGUCUGUGUAAUGACAAGUCAGGCCAAAAUUCGUACAGAUGCAGAGUGGGAAAACGGCAAAAAAGGCAACUUUUUUCCUCUGGACGAGGAAAAGGCGAGUUCUCUACAAUUGGCAACCUAUACGGAAGUUUACACCUUGGACCUCUCCUAACUUUUCAGUACAGUGAAGGUCGACCCAGGUUGCAAUAUGUCUGGUAGAGAAGGGGGAAAGAAGAAACCUUUAAAACAAGCCAAGAAAGAGAAGAAAGAACUUGAUGAAGAGGACUUGGUUUGGAAGCAAAAGCAGAAGGAAGAAAAGAAAAAGCUAGAUGAAGCAAAAGUGAAAGCAGCUCAGAAAGGACCACUGAGUCAAGGUGGCAUUAAGAAAUCAAGGAAGAAAUAACAACAGGUGUGCCCUUGCUUCAAGAUGAGAAAAAGAUUCAUCCCAAGGAAUUGAAAGCAAAUGAACUUUAAGAUUCAUUUUAAGAAGCAAUCCUGUGUAUACCUGCAUUCUUGAAGUAGUAUGAACUCAAUAAAAUUUGACAAGAUUAUUGGGAGAGCAUUAAUAAGUAUUAUCAAUGGUUUAACCACUCAGCUCAUUUACAUUUAUAUGAAGAAAACUGGUUGAGAAAAGCCUAAUCACGAUUAUGAAUUGCGUAUGUUGGGAACAAAUAAAAACAUUUGUGUAUAAAAGCAGCAACAUUGUGACCAAUACUUGUCAUAAAGAUCAUAAAGCACAGCAAAUUUACAUCAUUGACCGUUGUGUGUUACGAUUAAAGGUGUACGUACACAUA
rnacentral:lncRNA from 1 species